GUACUGUGCCCAUCUCCUCUUAGGUUUACACAAAAACUGCACACACAUAUGUAUUGUACGAAAUUUCAUGUAUAUUUGAUUUCAUUAGUAGCUUCGGCUGCAUCACGAUUCAUCCAAGAAAUCCAAACACGUUGGCCACUAAAAGUAUGUGAACAUCAUAAAAGAUAUUAGAGUACAUGAGAACAUUAAUCCGUCCACUUCGAAUCAUAACCAAACAUACGUUUCAAAUUGCACAGAUCCUAGACCAAACACAGCAGAAGAGACACAUACAUAUCAAGUGUUACAUAGCAUGAGAUGAUCAAUUUUUAUACAUCACAGCCCACGCUAAAUAUGAAGGAGUAAAAUAAUCAUUGUUCAACAAGCAUUGCCAAACUGUAUACAACAGAAAAGCUAUAGCCUUUGCCUCCGUUACUAGUGCUUAUGGGAUCCCGGUGCUUAUUGCUCAUCGAGCUUCUUGUAGUGGGAGAGAUCAUACCUAAUAACAAAUAAGAUUAAGUUAGCACAGGUCAGUACAAGCGUCAUACAUUCAUAAUUAAUCUUAUUACCCAUGAUCUAAUCGGAUGAAUAUGCAUCAACAGUGCCAUCUCACUGUGUGCUGCACAUACCACAUGCAAGGAAAAAUAGAGAUGAAUCAAAUUCAUCCCAAAACACAACCUAAAGUAUGCUUCUAUGCUAGAACUAGCAGAGAAGCCAGUUAUUUUGUGGAUCCUAACUUACUCAUAAUGAAACAUAUUAUAAAACAUUAUUUAUCUUGUAAAAAGACAUUAGUGCAUUAUGUUCAUAUAGUGAGAUUGGCAACCACUGGCGAACUUAGGCAAUACAAAUAUUACAUAUAAAGUUCAGAUAAACUUGAGCAAACAUGCAAAUGCAGAAUCAUAUUAGACAUCAAUCCAGUAAACUAUGGGAUUUUCAAAUUUACCAUCGUAUGUUCAAAUAAGAAAAUAGCAUAUCGUAUUACAAAACAGUAUGUUGAACCGUCGAAGGCACCGUACAGUUUUAUCACUCAAAAGCAGUCAUGACUUUGAGAAGAAGAAGAAUUAGUUAAUGACAAGAUAUUCUUGCGUUCUUAGACUAUGUGUUCUCACCUGAGAGUGGUGGCACACAAUUUGUGAUUACUGGCACUAUGGGCUCUCCUAAAGGCGAUGUCCCACUACUUCCCACCAUUUUCAGUUUGAGAUGCAGCAGCAAAAUAACGGAGGAGGAGCUUAGUACUAGUCAACGAGCUCUGAUCUAUCCAUCAUACCCAGAGAAAAAAAUUAUGUUUUCUCCACUAUCACCUCAAAAUAUAACAAAAUGAGAAAUCAGCCACAAUUUCAAGGUUGCAAAUUAAAAGACAAACAGAAAGAGAGACUUCUUUUUUAGGUAAAAAAAGUUGCAGAUGUUCUUUUCAUAACUGGAGUGUUAUAAAAACAGGAAAAGCAAAAAGCUAACUAAACUUUUUCACCAAGCCAAAACUAUCAUGAUUUUAGUUUCAAUGGCAAGAUUGGACGAAUAGAUAGUGACUCCCUGAAAUCAGUGAAGUGGCACAUAUUCCAAGUGUGUAAUGAAUUUCAGUCCUGUGCCAACAAGGACUUCAUGUUCAGGUACUCUACCAGGUAGAUGAGAUUAGUUUGUUCCCAUGUACAACAUCCGACAAGAUGACAAAAUUUCACAAUGCCAACUCGAAAAUCUAUUCUAAGCAAACUAUAGCAAGCUUCUCAAGUGAUUAUUUUUCUUUUUUUGUGGCUGCUAGUAUAUCCCUCUCCUUUCUCUGCCUAGUCCUGUGAUAUGCAAUUGCCAAUGUUGGAACUUAAAAACAAAAGCAGUGCAUGCAGCCGGUGUUGUACAAGAUUCAUGUCACAAAGUUGCAGGAAAAUGUGAACAAAACAAAUGACACAGUGGAUACAAUACAAUCUCUGAACAAAAAUAAAUCUAGGCUUUCUAUAUAUAUGUGCCACUCAGACAGGAUUUCAGGUUGCGCAACUUUCUGUCCCUUACUAUCUGGCCAGAUUCUACUUGCCCAAAUGUUAAACUGGUUAAUUCUUUUUCCUUGUCUUUUCACCAAUGCACAUGUACAGAAUGAUCCAUCCAUGUCUCAAAUUAAUGGUCAGAGCUCAGAACAGUGUGUCUACAACUGGUAAAUUGCAGUACAAUACAUUUGUCAUAUGAAUUGGUGGUUGUAAUCUUCACAAGUAGAAAGAGCUCACUGUCCCAUCAAUUUUUCACUCAAUGAUUGCAUAUUGCGACGAUAAACAGAACAACCCUGGAUACUAAUAUUUUCAGUGAAUUGUUCUAAAUUUCAAAUCGAAGACUAUCCACCCAUCAACCAACUUGGUUCUCUGAAGUAUUUAACAGUGAAACAAAAUGCCCAUAAUAGACUGCCAAACCAGCAAGAACAGUAGCAACACAUGAUCAAAUCGAAGUUACAAGAUUGCAUCAUUCACGCAUGAGCAGAAUUGACAUGAACAAGUACAAGAACAGGUAAAUUAACUACCAUGGUGACACCUUGUAGGCUCGCACCACGUCACACGGGCCGGUGGUGAAGGAGACGAGGAGUUGACCACGGGCUUGCAGCCGACGAGGUGGAGAAGGACGCGAGCUCCGAUCUCCUGUGAUAGAGAGGAGGCGACGGACCAGACGUUGCCGGAGCCUGAGAUGGGAGGCUGCAACAAGCACACAACGGCGCCGAUCUUAGUACUCCGCGAGCUCUGAUCUGGUCGGCCUCAAACUGGGCCGCCGGCGUAACAGCGGGCAAGAGCCAUCAGAGAGAUGGAAUAUCACCUCCUCUGUGCGUAGUCGCCCAGCUUGGUUGAGGGAUUUGGUCCGCCGCCGUGGGGGGAUCUUUGGUCGCUGCUACUGCGUAUGGG
rnacentral:lncRNA from 1 species